GGAGAAGAGAAGAGAGACAGGCGAGACGGACGGGAGCUGCUCUGAUGUUAAACAGAGACGGGGAAGAGAGAGCGGAGCCCAUGAGCGCCCCGGUGAGCAGCCCAGUGCCGGGGACAGGGACUAAACCUGGAACCAAAACCCAAAAGCUUUCAGGAUACUCAUGGAUGAAACCUGCAUGGACUUUAUAGCCCAGUUCCACCUGCCAAGACCAUCUUCACCACCACCAUGGGCCUGGGUCAGUAUGUAGCUUCCCCCACGCUGGUUAGUUCACGCACAAGGUGGGCAACCCCACGCAGCCCUGCCUGCCAAACCCGAGCUGGCUCUUGUCAGGUCCUCAAGAGGUCCUCGGAGAAUGGAUCGCUCUUUACAUUAACACACUAAAUUGACCCAAGCAAUUCUUGGACAAAUCUAAACCUUCUUUUUCUGAGAGUGUAGAGAUCGCUGCCUUAAUUAGCAAGUGAAAUCAGACCUCAGCAGCAGCCCAGUGCCACAGCUCGGUGCAAAGAGCAUCCUGGGGUAACCCCGGAGGGUGUUGCGGCAGCCCCAUGUUAGAUGGAUGUUAUCUACCACAGCCGCUGAAGCACAGAGCAGCAAAGGCAAAUGCCACCUGCAGUGACAGUGGCAGUGACAGCGGGCCACUGCAGCAGAGCUAUGACAGUGCCCACACCAGUGCCUGAUGCCAGGAUGGCUGCAGGUGGUGGCAGGCAGAGGCUGGGGGGGGGCGGCACAGGGAAGCCCCUGCCACCUUCCCCAACGUGCCCCUCUGCCUGGACACAAAGGGAAUGAGCCUGAGCUCGGGCUGGGCAGGAGGGAGGGCAUCAUUCCUGAGUCACCCACAGGCUGCACGGAGCGGGGCUGGGCAGGGACACGGGGUCAUGAUGUGCCGGCACUUGGGUCCCUGCCUGCACCCACUGCCUCUUCUCCUGGGCUCUUUCUCAUCUGUGAGUAACCCCGGGAGCUGCUGCGGCAGAGGCAGAGGAGCCAGGGUUCAGCAGGAGGUGGCUGCACAGCCUGGGAUGGGGAGCUAAUGCAAGCCGAGGCUUUUUGCUGGUGCAUUAGUCACUGAAGAUUGCAUCGCUUCACAGGCAUCCAUCCCCUCCUCAACCCCGAUGGGGCUCAGGGAACCACAAGUUGUCUGAGAGAUUUGUAUUUCCCCCAAAAUAAAAUGCCACCUGUGCAGACAGAGCUGGGAGUGGUGGGCCAGCGGGGACCCCACAGCACCCCAUGGCCGUCCAGGCUGCGCCCCUCGCCCCACAGGGAGCACACACCCUGCGGGCUGGGGCAGGCGAUGGAGCUGUGACGCUGACGUUAGCUGGAGAGCUGGAAAGUUUUCUACAUACCAGCAUUAGCAGGAAUGUUAUUUACUGAGUGAGGAGAGGUCUGACAGGAGAAAGCCUCUUACCCAGCUCUUCCCCAUGUAUGGCUGUGGACCGGCGUUACUCAGCAGGAUACAGCACAGACAGAGGCACCGGCGCCGCGGGACGGCUCUCCUCAGAGGAAGCUGGAUGUGGGAUGGGGGGCACCUCCCCGUGCCCCCGAGCAGCCAGCUGGGCUUUCACCAUUCACCCCACCGAGCAAUGGCUUGCCCCAAGCUGUGUUGGGGUUGAUUCCCAGGACCCCCACGGCUGCCUGUCCUGGCUCAGCUGGAUUUUGUAGAAGCAGGGGGACACAGAUGGGACAUUGCCAUCAGCAUGUGGCCCUGGGGAUACAUCAGGGCAUGGGGAGGCUGCCUUCAUGGGGAGCAAGAUGAGUGGAGCAUUGCACUGAGAAGAAACACAGGCCUGCCCUUUCCCUUAAUAAGCCUCCUUACAGCUCAAAGCAAAUAUUUUUAUAAAAGUGGGAUUUCACUUCCCAUUUGUAUUUCUGACAUUUGGCGAAAGCUGACAGUGAACAUGUUCAAAGAGAAACAACACUGUUUCCUGAACCUGUGGACUUUUCCCAGCCCCAACGUGGCCCCGGGGAAGCCCGUCUGUGUCCCUCCUGUUGCCCAGGGCUGCCCAUGGGUGGGGGGAUGCCUCCACUCAGGAUAAUUAUUGGUCACAGAGGGGGUGGAUUUUCCUGAGUCACAGGCACAUCCAAAGGCUCUGCUCUUCUCCCCAAGGACUUCAAAGGCUUCGUAAACAUAAAUAGGUGUAGCCCCAGAGUUCAGUCAAUAGAGCCUCCUCUGCCAGGGGGGACAUGGGGGGUGUGAGUCUCAGCAGCCUCAAAAGCACCCAAGGUUGCACUAUGCACAGCCAAGCAAUUAAACUCAGGCACUUUUCUUCU